ensembl:lncRNA
AACAGGUCACAAAUCUUGCUGUUGUGAUGUGUAAUGAACACAAGAGGAGACAGAGAGCUGGAUUCAAGUGCAGGGUGCAGCAGGUGUUUAUUGCAAAGGACCACAGGAAGAGGCAGGUAGCUGGGUCCAGGGGCAGGCAGAAGGUUAUACACAGGAGGAGGCAGGUAGCUGGGUCCAGGGGCAGGCAGAAGGUUAUACACAGGAGGGGGCAUGUAGCUGGGUCCAGGGGCAGGCAGAAGGUCAUACACAGGAGAAGGCAGGUAGCUGGGUCCAGGGGCAGGCAGAAGGUCAUACACAGGAGAAGGCAGGUAGCUGGGUCCAGGGGCAGGCAGAAGGUCAUACACAGGAGGAGGCAGGUAGCUGGGUCCAGGGACAGGCAGAAGGUCAUACACAGGAGGAGGCAGGUAGCUGGGUCCAGGGACAGGCAGAAGGUUAUACACAGGAGGGGGCAUGUAGCUGGGUCCAGGGACAGGCAGAAGGUUAUACACAGGAGGAGGCAGGUAGCUGGGUCCAGGGACAGGCAGAAGGUCAUACACAGGAGGGGGCAUGUAGCUGGGUCCAGGGACAGGCAGAAGGUCAUACACAGGAGAAGGCAGGUAGCUGGGUCCAGGGGCAGGCAGAA